GACGAACGCUGGCGGCGUGCCUAAUACAUGCAAGUAGAACGCUGAAGAGAGGAGCUUGCUCUUCUUGGAUGAGUUGCGAACGGGUGAGUAACGCGUAGGUAACCUGCCUUGUAGCGGGGGAUAACUAUUGGAAACGAUAGCUAAUACCGCAUAACAAUGGAUGACACAUGUCAUUUAUUUGAAAGGGGCAAUUGCUCCACUACAAGAUGGACCUGCGUUGUAUUAGCUAGUAGGUGAGGUAAUGGCUCACCUAGGCGACGAUACAUAGCCGACCUGAGAGGGUGAUCGGCCACACUGGGACUGAGCCACGGCCCAGACUCCUACGGGAGGCAGCAGUAGGGAAUCUUCGGCAAUGGGGGCAACCCUGACCGAGCAACGCCGCGUGAGUGAAGAAGGUUUUCGGAUCGUAAAGCUCUUUUGUAAGUCAAAAACGGGUGUGAGAGGGGAAAGUUCACACUGUGACGGUAGCUUACCAGAAAGGGACGGCUAACUACGU
rnacentral:rRNA from 1 species